GGAGAGGUGGCAGAGUGGUCGAACGCGCCGCACUCGAAAUGCGGUUUACCUUUAAGGGUAACGGGGGUUCGAAUCCCUCCCUCUCCGCCA
rnacentral:tRNA from 1 species